rnacentral:rRNA from 1 species
GAUGAACGCUGGCGGCGUGCCUAAUACAUGCAAGUCGAGCGAACAGAUGAGGAGCUUGCUCCUCUGACGUUAGCGGCGGACGGGUGAGUAACACGUGGAUAACCUACCUAUAAGACUGGGAUAACUUCGGGAAACCGGAGCUAAUACCGGAUAAUAUAUUGAACCGCAUGGUUCAAUAGUGAAACACGGUUUUGCUGUCACUUAUAGAUGGAUCCGCGCCGCAUUAGCUAGUUGGUAAGGUAACGGCUUACCAAGGCAACCAUGCGUAGCCGACCUGAGAGGGUUAACGGCCACACUGGAACUGAGACACGGGCCAGACUCCUACGGGAGACAGCAGUAGGGAAUCCUCCGCAAUGUGCCGAAGCCUGACGGAGCAAAGACGCGUGAGUUAUGAAGGUCUUCGCAUCGUAAAACUCUGUAAUUAGGGAAGAACAAAUGUGUAAGUAACUAUGCACGUCUUGACGGUACCUAAGCAGAAUGCCAAGGCUAACUACGUG